rnacentral:lncRNA from 1 species
CAUUCAUUAAUUCUUCCAGCCCUAAAGGUGAUGUUGAACCUCUGAUUCUGCUACAGUACUAAGAUUUAUUACGUCACUGGAGGGCAGUGAAGAGAUGAUGUGACAUGAUCUACAAAGCAAACCAACUGGCCCUCCACGCCUGGAAUUUUGAAUCAUACAUCUGAAGACUCUGCCCACAUAGGUAAAAGCAUGCUCCCUUCUUGUCAUUGAAUUUUAAGCUGCAGACACAAGUCUUAUGAAUUCAUCUAUAAACAUAAGCAUACAAAGCAGUAGAAGCCACACCUACGGUGAGGAGCUCUCCAUAUGGGGUUGAUUUAGUAAUGCUUGUUGACUUGUGUCAGAGAGUCGUUGAAGACAAUACAGUUCCACCUGACCUUUAACUGC